CUCUUCCCCAGAACAGUCGAGAAAGGAGGGGACACUUUCCCCCUUGCUGGGUCUCCUCACCUCAGGAGCCCUUCCUGGAAUAUGAGUCUGGGGGAACGCGAGGGUUCCAUUGGCAGGUUAGAAAGAAGGGGCCCCAGCUUCUUGGCUCCCAGGGAAGGCCCUAGGCUGGAUUGUCUCAAGGAGCGGGUGGGUGAGGGCAGGACGCCGGUGGACAAGGGCAAAGCUGUCUGCAGAUCCCUCAGCUCUGCAGGGACACAGCAGAGUCAGCGGCUGGACACCAGGAACUGUCUGAGCUGCCAGCAAGGGGGCUCCAGGGUGGGCGUUGCGUUGUGCCAGUAGACAUGUCUGCCACAGCCCCUUUCCCAACUGAAGUGUUUGUUCCGUUCACUGUUCCCCGCUCCCCUCUGCCUAGAAGCUGCGCCUAGCCAUCCUCCCUCCCAGGAACUGCAGCGGGUGAGAGGUUGCAUUUUGAAUACCCUUGGGUGAGUUGUUUAAAGGACCUGGUGCCCUGAUCACUGCCACUGUGGGCCUGUGUAGAUGGACUCCUUUGCAAUUUUCCAGCUCAGGGUGCGUGUGUGUGUGUGUGCGAGUGUGUCUGUGUGUGUGCCUGUGUGUGCCUGUACCUGUGUGUGUGUGUGUGCACCCACACGGGUGUGCCUGUGUGUGUGCACCUAUGUGUGUGUGGCUGUGUGCAUGUGUGCACCUGUGUAUGUGCAAGCCUGAGUGUGUGGCUGUGGUGCGCCUGUGUGCAUAUGUGUGUGUGCCUGUGUGCGCCUGCACGCACUUGUGUGUGUGUGUGUGUGUGUGUGUGUGUGUUCUGAGCUGUGGGGAGGGAGCUCUGCUGGGGUCCGUGGCUUGUCGUGAGUGCUCUGCUCCACCUUGUCCCCUCCCCCACGUUCCAAACACCCCUCUCUUUCCAGCCUGGCUGUUGUGGUGAAGCUAAUCAGAGGUAAUUACGGGGGAAGGAGGGAUCCUGAGAGGGACCCCACAGAGACCACCUCAUCCGCCCCAGCCCAGCCCUGGUGGCCCUGGCCUCCAGGGCCUAGGCCAGCUCAGUCUUGCCUGGUGAGGGUGAACCCACCAACACCCCACCCCAUGGUCCUCUCUCUCCCGCCCACUCCCCAUUCCCACAGCUGCAGGUAAGGUUCACACAUCUGGGUUUUCCUCAAUCUCCCCAAAGCUGCUCCAUAUGCACUCAUUCAUUUCAGAUUUUCUGGGCACCUCCUCUAAGCCAAAGCCCACACUGGGCACCUGACAAAAACUGGUCCCUACCCUCAUGGAGCAGCUGCUAGGAUUUUGGUCAGGGUAGACUUUGCAGGGGCUGGGGGCAUAGCCUUGGAAAGGCAGAGGGUCCCUGCAGAAUCACAAGCCCCUUCAGGGGAGGGCCUCCCUUCUACCACCUUGCUGAUGCCAGAGGAGUGGAGCUUACCAGCCCAGAGCUUCUCGACUUCCACCACUCCUAGCCUGUCAUGGCGCCCAUCCUCCCUCCCACCCAGUGUUGAUGGGUGUCAGGCCACACCCUGCUCUGUCUCCCUGUCCUGACCACCUGUCCUCCUCCUGCAGCUUCCUCCAUCCACUUGGGUUCCCCCUGCUUUUCUGCUGGGGUGGGAAGGGGGUCUCUCUGCAGUGCAGAGAGGCUGGAUUGAGAGCAGCAUCUCUCAGUCACCUCCUUGGGGUUCACGGCCCCAAGCUGGGAGAGCCCUUAGAGACCAAGAAGAUCAGCUGUCUCUCACACCCUAGGAAAUUGAGGCCCAACGGGAUGGGGAGUCCAAGGAGUCAGGGUCAGCGGAAUUAAACCCCAGUCUCUGACUCCCAGUCCAGUGCUCUUUCUGGGGAGUCCUCCCCGAGCCUGCAUCUGGAGGACAGAGUCCAGGCCUGUUCCUUCUCCCAUCCCCUCACUGUGCCCAGAAGGAGAGAGGAGCAAACAGGGGUCCCCACCAUCCUGCCUUUCUGUCCUGCCCCACUAGCCUGGGCCCAGAGACAAGGCCGUGGGGUGGGAGGGACCACAGGGGGCUUCGUUGAGGGUCUCUAAUUUCCUCCUGCUCCUUGAUGUCCAGAGCAAAACAGGCCUCCUCUGCCCAAGAGAUUUCCAAGCAUAAACAGAGGUCAGCGCCCCCCUUGCCCCGGAGGUGCCAAGGUGGUAAUUAGGCUUGGGGGUGCAUCCUGGAAGGGUGGGGGUGGGGCGGCCAUUAUCCUGGGGAGCUGCGCUGGGCAGAGGAGCUGUGCGGUCUGGGCAAAUGGGUGGUUUGUAGGUGGUCUGGGGAAUGAAUGACUGAGUGUUUGGGAGGGAAGCUUGCGGGAGGGAGGUGGAGGGGGAGGGAGCAGAGGGAUUGGAGAGUAGAGCCCGGAGUCUUCCCCCCAGUUCACUGGUCUGAGCCCUUGCUCUCAUUCUGGAGGCAUCACUCUGAGACAUAUAGGGUGGGGGGUGGUCUUGGGGAUGCCGCCUGGACAGUGGAACACCUGGGGCGCUGUAGCAGGGAGCAGGCUCUCUGCUGAGAUCAGGGGCUCUGGAGAGUCACCAUCUCCCCACCUGCUCCCUCAGCUUCUGGAAGGGUGCAGGGAGGAGGCGGGUGGAGGUGGUUCUUGCACAGGGUCCCUGGCAUGCUGCAGGGUGCUGGCUAAAGCACUCCUGUGCUGAGCCUGCUCCCGCUUUGUCCCCACUUCCAGCCGUGUCUAACCCCUCUCACGGUGGGGACAAAUUCCUUCUGGGAUGAGAAAGACCCUUUGACUCUCAACCCCAGGAGCUGCAGAUCCACAAGUCCCCCUGCUCUGACCCCCACAAUGCCCCAUCCACUGCUGCUCCGGGUCAGGCUGCACCAGGAAUGGUUACCCGGAACCCAUGACUGGCUGUGACCCCUGGCAUAGGGACAAGGACCAUGGCUGGCAGAAGGUGGGGUGAGUAGGUCAUGGGUAGGGGUGGGGCUGCUGGGACUGUCCACUGGCAUCCUGCCCAGGCCCCGGGCACAUUCCUCCUCCCCCGUGCUCCCUACCUGCCGGAUACCACCUGUGCUGCGAGUACCACCACUCACAUGGCCUCUGCAGCAAGAGAGACUGCAGUGAGACUACCAGACACAGCUGCCCUGAGGAAAACAUUGAACUAGGGGAGUGGCCCCUAUCUGGAAAGCCUGCUGGGGCAUCUUAGCCACUGACCAGCACAGAGGAGACGAGCGUCUGUGUCCUGGUUUCAUCUUGUGUCCUUCGGGAGUCUGGAAGCAUCUUCAGAACAGGGGCUGGGUCUCCACCCUCAGAUUGAGUAGUGGUUCCCAGAGGCCAGCUCCUGUGUCCCUCUGUGGCAGGAAUUGAGCCCUCACCAUCACAUCAGAUUCUUUUUUUUUUUUUUUUUUUUGAGACGGAGUCUCGCUCUGUCGCCCAGGCUGGAGUGUAGUGGCGGGAUCUCGGCUCACUGCAAGCUC
rnacentral:lncRNA from 1 species